ACGAACGCUGGCGGCGUGCUUAACACAUGCAAGUCGAACGAAGAGCGAUGGAAGCUUGCUUCUAUCAAUCUUAGUGGCGAACGGGUGAGUAACGCGUAAUCAACCUGCCCUUCAGAGGGGGACAACAGUUGGAAACGACUGCUAAUACCGCAUACGAUCUAAUCUCGGCAUCGAGGAUAGAUGAAAGGUGGCCUCUACAUGUAAGCUAUCACUGAAGGAGGGGAUUGCGUCUGAUUAGCUAGUUGGAGGGGUAACGGCCCACCAAGGCGAUGAUCAGUAGCCGGUCUGAGAGGAUGACCGGCCACAUUGGGACUGAGACACGGCCCAGACUCCUACGGGAGGCAGCAGUGGGGAAUCUUCCGCAAUGGACGAAAGUCUGACGGAGCAACGCCGCGUGAGCGAUGACGGCCUUCGGGUUGUAAAGCUCUGUUAAUCGGGACGAAAGGCCUUCUUGCGAAUAGUGAGAAGGAUUGACGGUACCGGAAUAGAAAGCCACGGCUAACUACGUG
rnacentral:rRNA from 1 species